GGGAGUACGGUCGCAAGAUUAAAACUCAAAGGAAUUGACGGGGACCCGCACAAGCGGUGGAUGAUGUGGAUUAAUUCGAUGCAACGCGAAAAACCUUACCUACCCUUGACAUGGCUGGAAUCCCCGAGAGAUUGGGGAGUGCUCGAAAGAGAACCAGUACACAGGUGCUGCAUGGCUGUCGUCAGCUCGUGUCGUGAGAUGUUGGGUUAAGUCCCGCAACGAGCGCAACCCUUGUCAUUAGUUGCUACGAAAGGGCACUCUAAUGAGACUGCCGGUGACAAACCGGAGGAAGGUGGGGAUGACGUCAAGUCCUCAUGGCCCUUAUGGGUAGGGCUUCACACGUCAUACAAUGGUACAUACAGAGCGCCGCCAACCCGCGAGGGGGAGCUAAUCGCAGAAAGUGUAUCGUAGUCCGGAUUGUAGUCUGCAACUCGACUGCAUGAAGUUGGAAUCGCUAGUAAUCGCGGAUCAGCAUGUCGCGGUGAAUACGUUCCCGGGUCUUGUACACACCGCCCGUCACACCAUGGGAGCGGGUUUUACCAGAAGUAGGUAGCUUAACCGCAAGGAGGGCGCUUACCACGGUAGGAUUCGUGACUGGGGUGAAGUCGUAACAAGGUAGCCGUAUCGGAAGGUGCGGCUGGAUCACCUCCUUU
rnacentral:rRNA from 1 species